AAAUGUGUUCUGUUUCCCCAGGAAGCCAGCGGGAAAUACAACAAAAUGCCUCUCCCUCUCCUUUAGCAAAACACGUGUCAGAGCAAUGCAAGAUUUGACUGGGACUGCUUUACUUCGUUAACAAGCAGCAGUAGGACUGACUGGAGCCAUUGUACAGUGUCGGGAACACACCAGGACACUGAGAAUAGCGUCAUGUCAUAAGAACUCAGAGCAGAUGGACCCUGCUGUGAUGCACAAAGAGGACUAUGCAAGAUAUGAUAAAGAUCUAUGUCACUGAAUUUUUGGUUCUAUAUUUGUAUCUCAGCUUCCUGGAAAUAAAAAAGAAUUCUAACAUUCAUACUUUCAGUAUUUUAUGUGAGAGGUUUUGUUGUCAAAAUCAAGUCUGAGAGCAAUGUUUAUUGGGGCCUUUAAUUGGAGUCACCAAGCGAUAAAGGGGACAUUGUCUUCAACAAUAACCCUAUA